CACCUGAGUUGUUGACAGUCCAGUGAGGCUGAGACGCAGUUCUUUCUCUCGCAGUGGAGCUCCAGAUGAAGGGUUAGGAGGACCCAUCAGAGACCAGACCCUGCUGAACCUGGGCCCAGCUGUGUGUCCAUGAAGAGCCACUGGUCCACGGAGACACCCCCACUUUAAAAACAAGGAGACCUGUAAUGGACAGGCCAAUUAAAAUGGAGGAGGAGAGAAGGAAGAGGCAAAGACAGAAGGACGGGGAGGACCAGAUUGAAAGCCGAAGACAGAGGACCCAUCAGAGACCAGACCAACCGAUCCUGAUCCUGAUCCUGAUCCUGAACCCAGCUGUGUGUCGAUUGAGAGCGAUCGGUCAAAGGAUGAACGCUUUGACUUUAAAGGAGAUCAACCCUCUGCUGGAUCGAGG